GGAUGUGUGGGCGAUCUGGUUGCAACAUCUGUCAUCCCACUGAUGGCCAGGGUUGAUUCGGCAGGUCUGGUGGGCUAGGCAGGUGUCCCUUUCCUUCCUCACCACUCCGUGUGCGUCCCUUUGGAAGCUGUGCACUGACUGGGCGAGGACAAAUUUCCCUCAUAGAAGAGAGUAUAUAAGGAGCUGUGCUCUCCUGUUAGAAACUCCAAACAAGGUCUCAGGGUCCAUUUGUAGGAGAAUAUAGAGUAGUCAAGCUUCCAAGACUGCAGACACAUCCAAAUGAGGCUCUGCCUGGGGUAGUUUGCCUUUAAAA
rfam:Mustela putorius furo unplaced genomic scaffold scaffold00023, whole genome shotgun sequence.